rnacentral:rRNA from 1 species
UACGGGGGGGGCAAGCGUUGUUCGGAAUUACUGGGCGUAAAGCGCACGUAGGCGGCUUUGUAAGUUAGAGGUGAAAGCCCGGGGCUCAACCCCGGAAUUGCCUUUAAGACUGCAUCGCUUGAACGUCGGAGAGGUGAGUGGAAUUCCGAGUGUAGAGGUGAAAUUCGUAGAUAUUCGGAAGAACACCAGUGGCGAAGGCGGCUCACUGGACGACUGUUGACGCUGAGGUGCGAAAGCGUGGGGAGCAAACAGG